UACAGAGGGUGCAAGCGUUGCUCGGAAUUAUUGGGCGUAAAGGGUAGGUAGGUGGUCUCAUUUGUCUGGGGUGAAAGCCUUGAGCUUAACUCAAGAAGUGCCCCAGAAACGGUGAGACUGGAGUCCUGGAGAGGGUCGUGGAAUUCCCGGUGUAGCGGUGAAAUGCGUAGAUAUCAGGAGGAACACCGGUGGCGAAGGCGGCUACCUGGACAGAAACUGACGCUGAGGCGCGAAAGCUAGGGGAGCAAACAGG
rnacentral:rRNA from 1 species